rnacentral:lncRNA from 10 species
CUAAAAAUACAAAAAUUAGCUGGGAGUGGUGGCACGCUCCUGUAAUCUCAGCUACUCGGGAGGCUGAGGCAGGAGAAUCGCUUGAACCUGGGUGGUGGAGGUUGUAGUAAGCCGAGAUCACUACAGCCUGGGCAACAGAGCGAGACUGCCUCAAAAAAAAAAAAAAGCAUUAAAUUUCAUUUUAUUUUCAUUUUUCCCUUUAUUUUUUCAUUUUUUAGUUGUGAAAGUAGUUCGUAUAUAUUUAGAAAAAUGUUUACUUUUAAUAAACUAUUCAUUUAAUAAAUGUAUUAACUGAGCACUAAAUAAUGCUCAAAGGAUCAUAGAUUUUUUUCCUCCACACUAAGCCCAUGGGACAUGAAGAAUAUCUGGGUGCUUCCAGGAUAUAAGGAAGGAAUGUGCCUUUUCCCACUCCUGGCCUUUGGGUACUGUCCUGAGCAUGGGAUGCUGGGGCAGGGGCUGCCUUGGCCAUCUUGCCAUCUGCAUGGCAGUGGCAGAGGAUAGCUGAGGGAAAGGACUAGAGAGCCCUGGAGCUGCCGCCUUGCUCUGUGAGAAGCCCCUUCCAAUGGAGAUUUGAAUUACUUGCAACUUGUUGGCCUGCCUCUCCACCCCACCCCCAUCUGUUCCCUAGCUCUCAACUUUGGCUGCACACUGGAAUCUCCUACUCAUGCUCCCUGACUAUGCCCUCACAGAUUCUGAUUUGACUGGUCCUGGGUGCAACGGGGCUGGCAUGAGACGACUAAAAACUCCCCAGGUGAAUCCAAUGAGCAACCAGGCUAAGGACCAGUGAUCUAACUAAUGUAGGCUCCAGAUGGCCUUCCAAACAAUACAUGUGGCCCUUCACGCUCCAGGUGAUGACAAGUACCCGUUGCUGAUGGAAGUAGCAGAGUCAUACCUUUCUUGGAAUUUAGGUUCUACAGUCAAUGCUUAUGGCACCCAAUGAGUCAAAAACACCCUUGGCAACUCCUAAGGAAGGCUCUGCCCUGGAACCUGAUGUACUGUUUCCCCAUCACCAUCCAGGGAGAGUUUCCUCCUGGGCCGGAACAGAAAGCUGCCUCCUCCAUCAGGCACCAGAGGAAGUAGGGGGCUUCUGUUUAGGGACCACUUUGCAUAAAUACACAUUUAAACAUGUGCCUCACCCUCAGCACAGCAGGAUGCUCACGCCAUGAACAGCCAACAGGAACCAGAGUGACCGACCCUCCAGGAGGUACACACCUCCCUCCCAUCCCACCCACUUCUGAGCAUAUGGUUCUCACAUCCACCAGUGGGUGGAAUCACCCACACCAUUUAAACUUUUUGUCAAGGAUGUAGAGCUGAAUUCAUGUGAUUUCCCACAUGAGCAAUGUCCCUCCCUCCACUGCACAAUUAUAGCCAGCUCAAGCAGGUCCUCUCCUUCCUUCUACCUGCCCUGCAAAUGGCUCUCUCCUUCACUGACCCCCCGCCCUCCUUCUUAAAGGCUGAUGCUCCCUAGGACUCUAUCCUUGAUGCUUCUCAUUAAUUCUUCUCCCCGCUGGCUCUCAGCCCUACUUAGGGCUCCUGAUCAGUUAAAAAAGACCCAUGAGACCUCCCCUCCCCAGUUAACAGAGAUGUGGCCCAAGAGGCUCCCCACUUCUAAUUUGAGUGGGGGCAAAAGAAGAGAAAGAUCUUAUCUAGGUCUUGGGGGCAGGGCUUGCAGGGCACAAAGAAACAGAGUAAAUGUGCAACAGGCUAUUUUCUUGAAUGAAUGGAUUCAUAAUAAGAACAGGACUUCACCAGCUUCCAAGGGACCCUCCCCACCUCUCGGAUAUAUUCUGAAGCCUAAAUUUCACCUGCUUAUCUAGGAUCCUAGGCCAGGCCUUCUGCCACACCAACUCUGAGUCCAAGAGGGAAGGACUG